AGUCGAACGGAAUCUUCGGAUUUAGUGGCGGACGGGUGAGUAACGCGUAAGAAUCUACCUACAGACUCGGGACAACAGUUAGAAAUGACUGCUAAUACCGGAUAUGCCUUCGGGUGAAAGAUUUAUCAUCUGUAGAUGAGCUUGCGUCCGAUUAGCUAGAUGGUGGGGUAACGGCCUACCAUGGCGACGAUCGGUAGCUGGUCUGAGAGGAUGACCAGUCACACUGGGACUGAGACACGGCCCACACUCCUACGGGAGGCAGCAGUGGGGAAUUUUCCGCAAUGGGAGAAAGCCUGACCGAGCAAUACCGCGUGAGGGACGAAGGCCUGUGGGUUGUAAACCUCUUUUGUUAGGGAAGAUAAUGACGGUACCUAACGAAUAAGCAUCGGCUAACUCCGUGCCACCAGCCGCGGUAAGACGGAGGAUGCAAGCGUUAUCCGGAAUUAUUGGGCGUAAAGCGUACGUACGCUGUUUCAUAAGUCUGUUGUCGAAGCCCGAGGCUCAAGCUUGGAUCGGCGAUGGAAACUGUGAGACUAACUAGAGAUAGGGGCAGGAGGACUUCCAGGUGUAUCGGUUAAAUGCCUAGAUAUCUGGAAGAACACGCAGUGGUAAAUGCGUCCUGCUGGAUCUCACCUGACGCUUAAAUACGAAAGCUACGGGAGCGAAUGGGGAUUA
rnacentral:rRNA from 1 species